rnacentral:rRNA from 1 species
UACGUAGGGCGCAAGCGUUAUCCGGAAUUAUUGGGCGUAAAGAGCUCGUAGGCGGCCUGUCGCGUCGGAUGUGAAAGCCCGCGGCUCAACCGCGGGCUUGCAGUCGAUACGGGCAGGCUAGAGUUUGGUAGGGGAGACUGGAAUUCCUGGUGUAGCGGUGAAAUGCGCAGAUAUCAGGAGGAACACCGGUGGCGAAGGCGGGUCUCUGGGCCAAUACUGACGCUGAGGAGCGAAAGCGUGGGGAGCGAACAGG